UGGUCAGUUUCACACAGAAGUCACGAGG
rnacentral:piRNA from 1 species